UCACUUCACAUUAACCGGACAAUUCCUAUAUAAGACCCUGCCGGCUUCGGCCGGCUAUGGCGAUAAACUGCGGCGUGCAAUAGGCGCAGCGGACCCGGGGGCAGUACCCGGCGGCUCCACCAGAAAGACCCUUCGAGGGUCGUCCUGAUGGGGCCGAACCAGGAUCGACGUGUGUUGAAAAGCGCUGUUUUUGCCCGGCCUGAAUGCGCCGUAAAACCGUUCAAAACCACAAGUGCCAACGACAACGAGGCGCUCGCGAUUGCCGCGUAACUCGGUCCUCACGGACUAGGUUACUAAGGACAAAAGCGCGGUUCGGGCCGCACCGGGCAACAGAAGCGGAUUCCA
rnacentral:tmRNA from 1 species